rnacentral:lncRNA from 1 species
CGGCUUCCUCCCCGCGCUCUGAGCCCAGCGGCAGCAGCUGCUGCAGAUCCUUAUCCCGCCUGGCUCCUUCUGGGCUCUGUUUGCACAGCCUAAAGGGGAGCUCCUUGGUCUGAGAGAAGAGAUGCAUGUCUGGGACCGCAUCCCACCGUCRCAGGCAGUGACAGCCGGCGCUGCUGCUCUCUGCAGGCUAUUGCCCAGGUGCCAAAGCCCAGAUGUGGAAUAUGACGCUGGACAAAGACGCAUGAUGGGGGCACACAGGAUUGUUCACGCAGAAAACACRUAAUCCCUCUGGGAUCCCGUCCUCUGUGAGUGUUGCUCUCUAAUCUCAGUGUCCUGGCUSUUGGGCAGUAGCUUUUAACUCUGCAAGUAGGAAGGAAAUGAGGGCUCUCCCUCUCCACACACCGUCACUGGGUUCAGCUCUUUAGCCCUAGAUACCUGCUCUUGCAGGCAGACUGUCCUGACACUGCUCUUCCCGAGAUGAAGGCUUCCUGCGG